rnacentral:rRNA from 1 species
UUUCCGCAAUGGGCGAAAGCCUGACGGAGCAAUACCGCGUGAGGGAGGAAGGCUUUUGGGUCGUAAACCUCUUUUCUCAGGGAAGAAGACAAUGACGGUACCUGAGGAAUAAGCAUCGGCUAACUCCGUGCCAGCAGCCGCGGUAAUACGGAGGAUGCAAGCGUUAUCCGGAAUGAUUGGGCGUAAAGGGUCCGCAGGUGGUACUGUAAGUCUGCUGUUAAAGAGCAAGGCUCAACCUUGUAAAAGCAGUGGAAACUACAGAACUAGAGUGCGUUCGGGGCAGAAGGAAUUCCUGGUGUAGCGGUGAAAUGCGUAGAUAUCAGGAAGAACACCAGUGGCGAAAGCGUUCUGCUAGGCCGCAACUG